GACGAACGCUGGCGGCGUGCCUAACACAUGCAAGUCGAGCGGGGAUUUAAGUGGAAGUUCUUCGGAAUGGAGAUUUAAAUUCUAGCGGCGGACGGGUGAGUAACGCGUGAACAAUCUGUCCCGGACAGGGGGAUAACACUUUGAAACAGGUGCUAAUACCGCAUAAGACCACGGCCUCGCAUGGGGCUGAGGUAAAAGGAGCAAUCCGGUUCGGGGUGAGUUCGCGUCCGAUUAGCUAGUUGGUGAGGUAACGGCCCACCAAGGCGACGAUCGGUAGCCGGCCUGAGAGGGUGAACGGCCACAUUGGAACUGAGAGACGGUCCAAACUCCUACGGGAGGCAGCAGUGGGGAAUAUUGGGCAAUGGGCGAAAGCCUGACCCAGCAACGCCGCGUGAGGGAAGAAGGUUUUCGGAUUGUAAACCUCUGUCCUAUGGGACGAAGGAAGUGACGGUACCAUAGGAGGAAGCCCCGGCUAACUACGUG
rnacentral:rRNA from 1 species